UACGUAGGUGGCAAGCGUUGUCCGGAAUUAUUGGGCGUAAAGCGCGCGCAGGCGGUCCUUUAAGUCUGAUGUGAAAGCCCACGGCUCAACCGUGGAGGGUCAUUGGAAACUGGGGGACUUGAGUGCAGGAGAGAAGAGUGGAAUUCCACGUGUAGCGGUGAAAUGCGUAGAGAUGUGGAGGAACACCAGUGGCGAAGGCGGCAUCCUGGACCGGCAUUGACGCUGAGGAGCGAAAGCCAGGGGAGCAAACGGG
rnacentral:rRNA from 1 species